UUGUGCAGUCUGCUGAAGAAGACUUUGGUCAAAAUAUCUGUGCAUUUGUGCUUAUUUUUGAGUUUUUUAAUAAGGGAAAACUGGGUGAAUGUCCUCAUUAACCUUUAUAUCCUCCAGACUGGGGAUAAAUAGUUUCUUCCUACCCGGUGUUUGGAGGAUUAAAUUGGGCCUGGGCUCCUUGGAAUUGCUACAUCAGUUCCUCCCAUUGACGUACUGCUCAUGCAUAGGCUCACAGUCAUGUGACUGCAGGUCAUAUGACCUCAGUGGCGCUGCCAUGUGACCGGGAUGAUGUGCAGAGCUUCUGAAGGGUCUGGUACAGGUGACAGGCGGUGAGGUUACUCCUGGCCUCAACACAGUUUGGGACUGAGCUUUGCUCACUUUUUCUGUCCAGCAGAGGAGGGGGGGAGGGGUUUGGGGGUGUGCCCCCCCCCCCCCCCCGUCUGGGAUCCUCCCUGCUCCAGUUUCCUCUGGUUCCUCCUCUUCAGCCUGUUUCUGCCGCCUGCAUCUAAAUCACAGAGCUGGUUACUGCCUCUGUUUACAGCCGCUGUUUGAAAUGAGGUUCCCACAGAACAGGUGACUGAUUUUUGUUUUGGAUAGAUACAGAAUGGAAGGGUAAUGGCUUGGCUUUACCGAGAACAAAUAGUCGUAACUGUCAUUUCUAAUCACGGUCGUUCUCGUCGUAUUUUCAGACUGGAGCAUAUGAAAGGGGGAUUGUGGGAAUGAAAUAAUUUGUUUCUGUGGCUGAAUCCCUGCUUGCAAGACUCUCAAUUGCAAAAACUGUGAGUUUGAAGAGCGGUCGGCAUAUAAAAGUCUGUGAGUCCGAACUGCAGACCAGAGCAGAGCAGCUAUCCCAGCCCAACAGAGCGAAGGGCUCUCAGCGGCAACGGUGUCUAUUUUAGAAAGGAUAUCACUCACACCCCCGUUUUCAAACCCCAGGCAAGGGCCAUCUGACAGGGAGAUGUACAGCAGUGCUCUGCGGGAACCUGACCCCCCCCGCCCCCCCCCCCCCAGACACUAAUACACCCCGGAACCCAUAUCAGCUCCAAUCAGUGUUUCCUGACUUCUUGAUGAUUUUGUAGGGAUACUGCAUUGGCUGGGUGAAAUUCAUCACUGCCAAACUACCUUCACAACGUUGGUAAAAGCAGGGCAUUAUGACACAGCACCAAAAAGAUUAUGGAAAUAGGUGAUUUCAUGUUCUCUAGAAAAAAUUUAAUAUCCAAAUGACAAGAUAUAAUAAUGAGUAUACUUCUGAUAUUAGAAGGAGCACAAAGCUGAUUUGCCUCAUCUAAAACGCUUUCAAACUCAGCCCUGGGAAAGCCCUGUGUGUGUUGGAUUUGUCACAGGUUAUAUCUUUGUCAAUUUGGGCUGUUGAAAAUAUGUCUUUAAAGUACCCCUUUAAUAUGUAUUUCAAAACCUUAAAAAAAUUGUAUAUUGUUUACUAUUGUUAUUCCGCCAAAAAAGUUCAAUAAACUACUGAAAAUUUCUUUGUAGCAUCUCUUCACCUUUGCCCUCAUUAAGAAUGCUAGAAUUUAUGAAUAUGCAAAUUAGCAAUGCUUGCUGUUGUGGUCCCAGGAUAUACAGGCACGGCAUCCAGAUUCAAAAUUAAUUCCUUAGCGAAUCCCUUCGACUUCUGCAUGAGGUUCUGGAAGCAGUCAGCUGUAAAAUGUGCACUACAAGCAUGGAUUCCCUUUAUGCCGUCACAUACAUCCAAACAAUUUUUAAUAGGCAAAUUCCACGCAUUUGAGUAUUAGAAUGGGCUCUGUUGGUAACCAGUGGAACAAAGUUCCUACCUCGGGCUUACACCCUAAAACUGCACAGUCUGCCAUGCCAACACACCAACCAUCAUAACAAUGUCACUAACUAGUCUGCUUUCUGUAUGCAAAGGUUUCUGUUUACCGCAUCGCUGUCCCAUAAUUUUCAUAUCUUUGCAUAUUGGACCAUGAUAGGGUUGACAUAUUUGUGACAUCACAAAUUUUGCUCGUGUGUGUACUUUUCCGACACGAUACUGUAAAGUGGAAGAGAAAAAGGCACUCUGGUGACAAGUUCUGCUCAAAAAUCAAUCUCUAUAAUUAAAGUCAUCCUUCCAAGAGGAGUUAAUCAUUUAAAAAAAACUGAGUGGAGGGGGUCUUUAAGUUCUAAUGGUUUUGUUUUUUCACUGCAAGUUAUUCUCAUUGCCAUAUUCUCAGUCAUUGAGCUCUUUGUUCUUGAACAUGAAAAGUUUCAGGUGAUCAGGUGUGAACGCACUGAGCUGUUAGACCCCCAUUGAUUUCACCUGCUAGUCUAUAAUUGAAUUAAUUCAGAAAUGUAGCCUCUAUAAAGAAAAUAGCACAUUACAGGAAAUUAAAGGCUCUGACUGUUAAAAGUCUAGGGAUGUGGAAUAUUUAUCCUUCUUGCCACUCAUCUGUUCCUGGCAUAAUGUGAUCUUAAGAGGAUAAAUGAUCCUUCAGUAGACAUUAA